ensembl:lncRNA
GUCAAAAAUAGUGUGGACCCUUUAAAUGAAUUUGAAAACUUUUGUCUUUAAUUUUUAUUUCAUUUUAUUUUUGUUGUUGCUGUUGUUGUUCUAUGAACCCCUCAUUUUCAUACACUGCAUGUGUAGCAUCUAGUUUGGUAUUGAAAAUAGUGUUGUGAUAUAUCUCACCAAUUUCUUUCUUUUCUCUCCAUGUUAAGACUACACACCUGAGAUCAUCAGCAUCCUCUCUUAUAAUGUCACUGCAUCAUCCUUCCAUGUGGCAUGGACCACCAACAUCCAGACCGAGGUCAUCUUCCACCUGGUUCUGCUAAACGGAAGCAAUGAGAUACAAAACUGUACAGUGAAAAGCUAUAAUUGGACAUUCAUAGACCUGAGUCCUGUGGUUCUUCAUACUGUACGUGUCACUCCAGUUGCCUGUGGUAAACAGGGAAACCCCAUAGAGAUCAAAGUGAGAACAGGCAAGUAUAACAGCAGGUUAAAUAGUAUUAAGUACUAAACAUAUAGCCUAAUUAUUGUUUCAUUUUAGGCAUUUUUUUACUAAAAAAUCAGUCUAUAGUAAUACUGCUGACUAUAGAUUCCCAGUGUUUAUUCAGUAUACUGUAUUAUGGUGUCAGUAUGAUUAAAUGUGUUUAAUCACAUUUAGCUAACCAAAUACUGUACUGUGCUUUUUUUAGAUGGACAGUCUCUUGGAGCUACAGCCCGCUUGAAAGGUGUGAAUUAUACAGAGGCCUUGAAAGACCCAACCAGUGAUGAAUAUAAGAAGUUCUGUGACAAUGUCAUAAAUGAGAUUCUUUUGUACUUGUCUCUAGAGACACGUGCACUAGUCAUCUCUGGACAGGUCAUCAUCCAGAUAACAUCCCUCUCAUCCGGCAGUGUAAUCGUGAACUUUUCCUUCAUAUUUCAACCCGGCUUGAACAUAUCAAGCGUGUCCAGUGCUCUAAUGGAGUCUCUUCAGAACAGCUCCAUAUAUGUAGUAGACAGUAACAGUAUAUACAUAGCAGGUACUGGUUACUCUUUCAGGCCUUAUUUUGAGAUAAUGAAUUGA